UACGUAGGGGGCAAGCGUUGUCCGGAAUUAUUGGGCGUAAAGAGCGCGUAGGCGGUCCGAUAAGUCGGCUGUGAAAGUCAGGGGCUCAACCCUUGAAAGCCGGCCGAUACUGUCGGACUAGAGUCCGGAAGAGGCGAGUGGAAUUCCCGGUGUAGCGGUGAAAUGCGCAGAUAUUGGGAGGAACACCGGUGGCGAAGGCGGCCACCUGGGCCGGAACUGACGCUGAGGCGCGAAAGCGUGGGUAGCAAACGGG
rnacentral:rRNA from 1 species